rnacentral:rRNA from 1 species
GGCCGCGGGAAUUCGAUUCGGGCCUAACACAUGCAAGUCGAGCGGGGACUUCGGUCCUAGCGGCGAACGGGUGAGGAGUGCUUGGGAAUCUGCCCAGUAGUGGGGGAUAACGUUUCGAAAGGAACGCUAAUACCGCAUACGUCCUACGGGAGAAAGGGGGGGAUCUUCGGACCUCUCGCUAUUGGAUGAGCCCAAGUCGGAUUAGCUAGUUGGUGAGGUAAAGGCUCACCAAGGCGACGAUCCGUAGCUGGUCUGAGAGGAUGAUCAGCCACACUGGAACUGAGACACGGUCCAGACUCCUACGGGAGGCAGCAGUGGGGAAUAUUGGACAAUGGGCGAAAGCCUGAUCCAGCAAGGCCGCGUGUGUGAAGAAGGCCUUCGGG